rnacentral:rRNA from 1 species
AUUGAACGCUGGCGGCAGGCCUAACACAUGCAAGUCGAGCGGAUGAGGGGAGCUUGCUCCUGGAUUCAGCGGCGGACGGGUGAGUAAUGCCUAGGAAUCUGCCUGGUAGUGGGGGAUAACGUCCGGAAACGGGCGCUAAUACCGCAUACGUCCUGAGGGAGAAAGUGGGGGAUCUUCGGACCUCACGCUAUCAGAUGAGCCUAGGUCGGAUUAGCUAGUUGGUGGGGUAAAGGCCUACCAAGGCGACGAUCCGUAACUGGUCUGAGAGGAUGAUCAGUCACACUGGAACUGAGACACGGUCCAGACUCCUACGGGAGGCAGCAGUGGGGAAUAUUGGACAAUGGGCGAAAGCCCGAUCCAGCCAUGCCGCGUGUGUGAAGAAGGUCUUCGGAUUGUAAAGCACUUUAAGUUGGGAGGAAGGGCAGUAAGUUAAUACCUUGCUGUUUUGACGUUACCAACAGAAUAAGCACCGGCUAACUUCGUG